UCCAAGGAAACCACACUGGGGACACUGCAGAAAGGACAGCUCGAUCAGGUGCUCAAGGAAGAAGGCGUGGAUCCGAUUUGGGGUGCUCCUGACACUUUCUAGAUGUGUUACUUUGCUUCUGUCCACUUCAAUUUCCUCUCUAACAAAAUGGAGAUAAUGACAGUGUUCACCUCCUAGGAAAUGAGAAUUAAAGGAGUUUGUCAACUCAAUGAACUAACUUCUUCUUCUUGUGGAAUGCCUCUACGUGCCCAGCACUGCGCAGACACAUAUGGAGCCAAAUAUUCCUACAAGACCAUUUAUCAGCCAGAAAACGUAUUCGAACAAUGUUAUAUUGUUGGGUUUCUGGGUCAACCCCACAGAAGUUUUAUAAUGUCACUGAAAAGCUAUAUAGUUGCACUAGAGAAGAAAAAAAAAAAAAAAA